CAGUAGCCGCGGUAAAACGUAGGUGGCAAGCGUUGUCCGGAUUUAUUGGGCGUAAAGCGAGCGCAGGCGGUUUCUUAAGUCUGAUGUGAAAGCCCCCGGCUCAACCGGGGAGGGUCAUUGGAAACUGGGAGACUUGAGUGCAGAAGAGGAGAGUGGAAUUCCAUGUGUAGCGGUGAAAUGCGUAGAUAUAUGGAGGAACACCAGUGGCGAAGGCGGCUCUCUGGUCUGUAACUGACGCUGAGGCUCGAAAGCGUGGGGAGCGAACAGGAUUAGAUACCCCCGUAGUCCCUGUCUCUUAUAC
rnacentral:rRNA from 1 species